UACUGGUGCCUAGCAGCAGAAAGAUGUCGGCAGAAGGGGCUGAGAAAGGAAAGUCGGCCGGGAUGCCAUUUGAGUAUGGUUCCGGGAAAGGGGAUCCAACCCGCUUGGCGCGUCCUAUUGUGCCAUCGUACGGACCGAAGGGAGUUAGACCGAAUUUGAGAAUACGCAAAGGCAUCACAGCUCUCUUAGUCGGAUCUUUCGUUGUAGGAGUUUAUUUGUACAGUUUUCAUGCCAUCUCUCAAGAGACCUUCCUGGAUGAUUUAGAAGUUGAAGCUAAAGCUUUGCGGGCCAAAGCAGCACAGAACUCAGGAACUGACUGAACACCAGAUGGAAAUGCACAGGGAUAAGAUUGGACUCUUUAUUUUCUAUUUGCAGUCUCUGGCCCCAGCUGAAGAUGUGCUGGUACACUGCUUAUCUAUGUCCUGUACUUCUUUAACAGUAAUGGUCACUGUGUUGGUGAAGUCUUUGCCAUGGAUAGCACGCAAAGGUUGUUUACCAUUCAAACUAUUUGAAAUUAAAUACCAAUAAACCAACUCACUGGA